rnacentral:misc_RNA from 1 species
UCUCCGUAGGUGAACCUGCGGAGGGAUCAUUACAGAGUUCAUGCCCUGACGGGUAGAUCUCCCACCCAAUGUCAUCACCACUUUGUUGCUUUGGCGGGCCGUCAGGCUCUUGACCACCGGCCCCGGCUGGUGCGCGCCCGCCAGAGGACCCAAAACCCUGAAUGUCAGUGCCGUCCGAGUACCAUAUAAUAGUUAAAACUUUCAACAACGGAUCUCUUGGUUCUGGCAUCGAUGAAGAACCAGC